GAUGAACGCUGGCGGCGUGCUUAACACAUGCAAGUCGAACGAAGCAUUUAAGACAGAUUCCUUCGGUUUGAAGUCUUUUAUGACUGAGUGGCGGACGGGUGAGUAACGCGAGGGUAACCUGCCUCAUACAGGGGGAUAGCAGCUGGAAACGGCUGGUAAUACCGCAUAAGCGCACAGUACCACAUGGUACAGUGUGAAAAACUCCGGUGGUAUGAGAUGGACCCGCGUCUGAUUAGCUUGUUGGCGGGGUAACGGCCCACCAAGGCGACGAUCAGUAGCCGACCUGAGAGGGUGACCGGCCACAUUGGGACUGAGACACGGCCCAGACUCCUACGGGAGGCAGCAGUGGGGAAUAUUGCACAAUGGAGGAAACUCUGAUGCAGCGACGCCGCGUGAGUGAAGAAGUAGUUCGCUAUGUAAAGCUCUAUCAGCAGGGAAGAUAGUGACGGUACCUGACGAAGAAGCUCCGGCUAAAUACGUG
rnacentral:rRNA from 1 species